rnacentral:lncRNA from 1 species
AGGAAGAAGCAAACGAUAGAAAAAGCAAAGGAGGAAGCAAACGGUAGAAAUCUAAUUCAUGCAUUUUUUUUAAUCAAUUGCAAAUUUUGGACAAGAGUUUCAGUCUGUCGGAAUAAGUCGGCUAAUAAAAAUUUGAUUGGCCGGCAAACUCAGCCCCUUAAUUGAGAUUAUCUUAAUCACUUAUUUGAAGGACGGGGUCGGAGAUCUGGAGCUCGGGCGGCUCCUCCUCCUCUUCCGCCUUCCGGCGGGAGGGCUUGCGGAGGCGGUCGCGGUUCUUGACGAAGAGGUCGAUGAGGGAGGUGGGGAAGCCGGUCUCGACGACGAGGGAGCCGCCGCGGCGCGGGGAGGACUGGAGGUCGGCGACGAGGCGGGAGAUGCGGGUGACCCUCGACUUCUUCCAUGGCAGGGGCAUGAUCCCCCCCUUUCUGCGACACGCGCGGAGCAAGAUCGAAAAGGAGAGAGAAAUGGUCGAGAUGGUGGAGGGAGGAGGUUGAAAGGGAAUGAUGAUGAUGAUGAAGAAGAAGAAGAAGAAGGAUAAAAAAAGGAAAGAUCGAUGAAAUGGUUCGGUGAAGUGGAGGGGGAAAUGAAAUUUCCACGGUGGGAUUCAACGUUUGUUUUUCACUUCUUAUUUUCCUCGCUGUUUCUCUCUCUCUCUCUCUCUCUCUCUCUCUCUCUCUCUCUCUCUCUCUCUCUCUGAGGAUGUUUUUCACGUGACUCGAAUAGGGGAGAGUGGGAGGGGAAAUCCGCGUCGUUGUCCGCGCCCACGCGAGCCCCGCUCGAUAUCGUCCGUCGAAUUAUGCGGCCGUGGGCAGGACCCAUAAAUCCGACGCUCGAUCUCGUCCUGUCCACGGAAGUAUUGCUCGGAAAUUGGCGCUAGCAGCGAGACAAAGGACAGCGAGUGGGGGCCGAUGUGAACGGGAGGGAGUGUUCAACUGACGCGUUUCUCUGCAGUUGUUUUUUCGGUUUUCGCAUCAGUUUCUUCCGUUCACGCAUUUCUUGGGUUUCCAUUCAUCUAUGCUUUCGGUUCCGCUCCGUUUUGACGGGGGUUCCGCCUCCAUCGCUACGUCGCCCGGUCACUGCAUCGCCGAUGCCUCCCGUCUUGCCUCAUCGCCCACAGGCUCCGCUGCAUCUACGCCGACCGCAUCCGCAUCCCGAGCCGAGCUCCCCCGAGGUUCCGCGUGCGGUGCGUUCCGAGCUCCGCUGCUCCUCUCGGCGCAUUCGGCGGACGCGGCGGCGGCGGCGGAGUCGACAGUGAGGUUGGGAAGGAGAAAUUGGUCGUGGAUGGAGGCGAGGAGGCCUCAGGGGUGUCACCUCCGAUGUCAUAAUUCUCGACGUCGGAGUAAGCCCCUCUCUCUCUCUCUAUAUCUCUCGCACUUCAUGUAUUGUACGAGUUAAAGCCUCAAUUUUUUUUCUUCUUUUUUUUGGGGUGUGCGGUCACUUGGGGGGUGCAUGAUAAAAAUAAUUUCUGUUCCAGAAAUGAUUUUUUUGUUCCAGACCAAUUUCUGGAACAGAAACUUGUUUGAUAACCCUUAUCAAAUUUUCUAUUUCUGGAAUAGAUUUCUAUUCCAGAAAUAUAAAUUGAAGAGAAAUCAGAAAUAGAAAAUAUCUAUUUCUGAUUUCUCUGACCUAAUAUCACUCAUCUCCCUCAUACGCCUCUUCUCUCUGCCUCCUCCUCCGCCUCUCCUCCGCCUCUGCACCGACGCCCUCCGCCUCUCCGCUCUCCUCCGCCUCUACACCGACGCCCUCCGCCUCUCCUCCGCCUCUGCACCGACGCCCUCCGCCUCUCCGCUCUCCUCCGCCUCUCCACCGACGCCCUCCGCCUCUCCUCCACCUCUGCACCGACGCCCUCCGCCUCUACACCGACGCCCUCCGCCUCUCCUCCGCUUCUCCUCCGCCUCUGCACCGACGCCCUCCGCCUCUUCUCUGCACCCCCGCCGCUCGUUCCCCGAAGCCAGAAGCCCUCAACAGAUCCGAGCACCGACGCCCUCCGCCUCUUCUCUGCCUCCUCCUCCUCCUCCGCAUCUGCCUCUGCUCCGCCUCCGCCUCCGCCUCCGCCUCUGCUCCGCCUCUUUGCUCCGCCUCCGCCUCCGCCUCUCCUCCGCCUCUCUCCGCCUCUGCUCCGCCUCUGCUCCGCCUCCGCCUCAGCCUCUGCCUCCGCCUCUCUGCUCCGCCUCCGCCUUCGCCUCCGCCUCUCUGCUCCUCCUCCGCCUCUCCUCCGCCUCUGCUCCGCCUCUCCUCUGCCUCUCUGCUCCGCCUCUCCUCUGCCUCUCUGCUCCGCCUCCGCCCGCCUCUGCUCCGCCUCUCUGCUCCGCCUCCGCCUCCGCCUCUCCGCCUCCGCCUCCGCCUCUCCUCCGCCUCUGCUCCACCUCUCCUCCGCCUCUCUGCUCCGCCUCCGCCUCCGCCUCUCCUCUACCUCUCCUCUAGCUCAUCAAACGAAUUUCUAUUUUUGAAAUAGAAAUUCUAUUAAGUUAUCAAACAGUUUUUUUUUCUUAGAAACUCGUCCAGAAAUAGAAAUCGAAAAAUUCAUUUCUAUUCCAGAAAUAGUUUCUGGAACAGAAAUGUUGUCAUGCACCCCCUUGACAGUCUCUGUUUCGUCUCUGCAGGGAUUGACUCGCGGGGGAGGAGGAGCAAAAAGACACCGCCAGCGUCGGCGUCGGCAGCGGAGGCCGCGGCGGAGAGAGAUCGCGGCUUACCUGCAUGUUCGGAUGUUGAGGAUGCUCGCUAAUCUCGUCAAGCCUUUGACGAGCCCUAUUUCGCCCAAUUAUGUUGUUGUAGGACCCUUUUUUUCUUUUCAUUUUUUUAAAAGCUAUUUUGGUUUAUGAAAUGAAAACUCUUUUUAUUU